AUUCCAGCUCCAAUAGCGUAUAUUAAAGUUGUUGCAGUUAAAAAGCUCGUAGUUGAAUUUCUGGUGGGAGUGUACAGUCCGACACUGAGUGUUGGUUCUUGUGUGUCUCCGGCCAUCCUUGGAGUGAAUCUGUCUGGCAUUUAGUUGUUGGGCAGAGUAUCUCCAUCGUUUACUGUGAGGAAAGGAAAGUGUUCAAAGCAGGCUUACGCCGUUGAAUCUUUUAGCAUGGAAUAAUAAGAUAGGAUCUUGAUACUAUUUUGUAGGUUUGCGUGUCGAGAUAAUGAUUAACAGGGACAGUCAGGGGCACUCGUAUUCCGCCGAGAGAGGUGAAAUUCUCAGACCAGCGGAAGACGAACCACUGCGAAAGCAUUUGCCAGGGAUGUUUUCAUCA
rnacentral:rRNA from 1 species